UACGAAGGGGGCUAGCGUUGUUCGGAUUUACUGGGCGUAAAGCGCGUGUAGGCGGGUCGUUAAGUUGGGGGUGAAAUCCCGAGGCUCAACCUCGGAACUGCUUUCAAGACUGGCGACCUGGGCUCAAGUAGAGGCAAGUGGAAUUGCGAGUGUAGAGGUGAAAUUCGUAGAUAUUCGCAGGAACACCAGUGGCGAAGGCGACUUGCUGGGCUUGUAGUGACGCUGAGACGCGAAAGCGUCGGGAGCAAACAGU
rnacentral:rRNA from 1 species